AGAAAAUCCUGACAAUGUCAUGAUUGAAUACUUUUCAAAGUUCAAAAAAACAGUUCUCUACCAGAGUCACAAUUGCAGCAGGAUGGUGUUGAUGCAAGGAUGAUGUUCGUCUGGUUGGCAUUGAUUCUUUUUCUUUCUUGGCUGUUGAAGAUUGAUGCAGAGGAGGAUAGUAGAGAUGGGCAAUGUGAUGAGCGAAGCCGAGCAGCGAAGCAGAAAACACAAGACUCAACAAAUUUCCUAGGAUGUCUAAUUCGACUGCCUCCUAUCAAAAUUCUCAUGCCUACUUAUAUAUUGUCUCUGGUAACAUAACCUUACUCUCAUUGCAGUAAGACUAGAUCAUUAUUUACAAAAUCUGUUGUUGCGCGACACUUGUGUUUACAAUUAACCACGAUUUAAUUCAGUCGGGGACAAGA
rnacentral:lncRNA from 1 species